rnacentral:rRNA from 1 species
GAUGAACGCUGGCGGUAUGCUUAACACAUGCAAGUCGAACGGACUCUUCGGAGUUAGUGGCGGACGGGUGAGUAACGCGUGAGAAUCUGGCUUUGGGUUCGGGACAACCACUGGAAACGGUGGCUAAUACCGGAUGUGCCGAGAGGUAAAAGAGAAAUUGCCUGGAGAUGAGCUCGCGUCUGAUUAGCUAGUUGGUGAGGUAAAGGCUCACCAAGGCAGCGAUCAGUAGCGGGUCUGAGAGGAAGACCAGCCACACUGGGACUGAGACACGGCCCAGACUACUACGGGAGGCAGCAGUGGGGAAUGUUCCGCAAUGGGCGAACGCCUGACGGAGCAAUAACGCGUGAGGGAAGAAGGCUACUGGGGUGUAAACCUCUUUUCUUAGAGAAGAACACAAUGACGGUACCUAAGGAAUCAGCACCGGCUAACUCCGUG